rnacentral:rRNA from 1 species
UGUGUGUUAGUGGAAGCGUCUGGAAAGGCGCGCGAUACAGGGUGACAGCCCCGUACACAAAAAUGCACAUGCUGUGAGCUCGAUGAGUAGGGCGGGACACGUGGUAUCCUGUCUGAAUAUGGGGGGACCAUCCUCCAAGGCUAAAUACUCCUGACUGACCGAUAGUGAACCAGUACCGUGAGGGAAAGGCGAAAAGAACCCCGGCGAGGGGAGUGAAAAAGAACCUGAAACCGUGUACGUACAAGCAGUGGGAGCACGCUUAGGCGUGUGACUGCGUACCUUUUGUAUAAUGGGUCAGCGACUUAUAUUCUGUAGCAAGGUUAACCGAAUAGGGGAGCCGAAGGGAAACCGAGUCUUAACUGGGCGUUAAGUUGCAGGGUAUAGACCCGAAACCCGGUGAUCUAGCCAUGGGCAGGUUGAAGGUUGGGUAACACUAACUGGAGGACCGAACCGACUAAUGUUGAAAAAUUAGCGGAUGACUUGUGGCUGGGGGUGAAAGGCCAAUCAAACCGGGAGAUAGCUGGUUCUCCCCGAAAGCUAUUUAGGUAGCGCCUCGUGAAUUCAUCUCCGGGGGUAGAGCACUGUUUCGGCAAGGGGGUCAUCCCGACUUACCAACCCGAUGCAAACUGCGAAUACCGGAGAAUGUUAUCACGGGAGACACACGGCGGGUGCUAACGUCCGUCGUGAAGAGGGAAACAACCCAGACCGCCAGCUAAGGUCCCAAAGUCAUGGUUAAGUGGGAAACGAUGUGGGAAGGCCCAGACAGCCAGGAUGUUGGCUUAGAAGCAGCCAUCAUUUAAAGAAAGCGUAAUAGCUCACUGGUCGAGUCGGCCUGCGCGGAAGAUGUAACGGGGCUAAACCAUGCACCGAAGCUGCGGCAGCGACACUAUGUGUUGUUGGGUAGGGGAGCGUUCUGUAAGCCUGUGAAGGUGUGCUGUGAGGCAUGCUGGAGGUAUCAGAAGUGCGAAUGCUGACAUAAGUAACGAUAAAGCGGGUGAAAAGCCCGCUCGCCGGAAGACCAAGGGUUCCUGUCCAACGUUAAUCGGGGCAGGGUGAGUCGACCCCUAAGGCGAGGCCGAAAGGCGUAGUCGAUGGGAAACAGGUUAAUAUUCCUGUACUUGGUGUUACUGCGAAGGGGGGACGGAGAAGGCUAUGUUGGCCGGGCGACGGUUGUCCCGGUUUAAGCGUGUAGGCUGGUUUUCCAGGCAAAUCCGGAAAAUCAAGGCUGAGGCGUGAUGACGAGGCACUACGGUGCUGAAGCAACAAAUGCCCUGCUUCCAGGAAAAGCCUCUAAGCAUCAGGUAACAUCAAAUCGUACCCCAAACCGACACAGGUGGUCAGGUAGAGAAUACCAAGGCGCUUGAGAGAACUCGGGUGAAGGAACUAGGCAAAAUGGUGCCGUAACUUCGGGAGAAGGCACGCUGAUAUGUAGGUGAAGUCCCUCGCGGAUGGAGCUGAAAUCAGUCGAAGAUACCAGCUGGCUGCAACUGUUUAUUAAAAACACAGCACUGUGCAAACACGAAAGUGGACGUAUACGGUGUGACGCCUGCCCGGUGCCGGAAGGUUAAUUGAUGGGGUUAGCGCAAGCGAAGCUCUUGAUCGAAGCCCCGGUAAACGGCGGCCGUAACUAUAACGGUCCUAAGGUAGCGAAAUUCCUUGUCGGGUAAGUUCCGACCUGCACGAAUGGCGUAAUGAUGGCCAGGCUGUCUCCACCCGAGACUCAGUGAAAUUGAACUCGCUGUGAAGAUGCAGUGUACCCGCGGCAAGACGGAAAGACCCCGUGAACCUUUACUAUAGCUUGACACUGAACAUUGAGCCUUGAUGUGUAGGAUAGGUGGGAGGCUUUGAAGUGUGGACGCCAGUCUGCAUGGAGCCGACCUUGAAAUACCACCCUUUAAUGUUUGAUGUUCUAACGUUGACCCGUAAUCCGGGUUGCGGACAGUGUCUGGUGGGUAGUUUGACUGGGGCGGUCUCCUCCUAAAGAGUAACGGAGGAGCACGAAGGUUGGCUAAUCCUGGUCGGACAUCAGGAGGUUAGUGCAAUGGCAUAAGCCAGCUUGACUGCGAGCGUGACGGCGCGAGCAGGUGCGAAAGCAGGUCAUAGUGAUCCGGUGGUUCUGAAUGGAAGGGCCAUCGCUCAACGGAUAAAAGGUACUCCGGGGAUAACAGGCUGAUACCGCCCAAGAGUUCAUAUCGACGGCGGUGUUUGGCACCUCGAUGUCGGCUCAUCACAUCCUGGGGCUGAAGUAGGUCCCAAGGGUAUGGCUGUUCGCCAUUUAAAGUGGUACGCGAGCUGGGUUUAGAACGUCGUGAGACAGUUCGGUCCCUAUCUGCCGUGGGCGCUGGAGAACUGAGGGGGGCUGCUCCUAGUACGAGAGGACCGGAGUGGACGCAUCACUGGUGUUCGGGUUGUCAUGCCAAUGGCACUGCCCGGUAGCUAAAUGCGGAAGAGAUAAGUGCUGAAAGCAUCUAAGCACGAAACUUGCCCCGAGAUGAGUUCUCCCUGACUCCUUGAGAGUCCUGAAGGAACGUUGAAGACGACGACGUUGAUAGGCCGGGUGUGUAAGCGCAGCGAUGCGUUGAGCUAACCGGUACUAAUGAACCGUGAGG